rnacentral:miRNA from 10 species
CUAUACAACCUUCUAACUUGUCA